AAUCUUCCGCAAUGGACGCAAGUCUGACGGAGCAACGCCGCGUGAGUGAUGAAGGUCUUCGGAUCGUAAAACUCUGUUGUUAGGGAAGAACAAGUACGAGAGUAACUGCUCGUACCUUGACGGUACCUAACCAGAAAGCCACUGCUAACUACGUGCCAGCAGCCGCGGUAAUACGUAGGUGGCAAGCGUUGUCCGGAAUUAUUGGGCGUAAAGCGCGCGCAGGCGGUCCCUUAAGUCUGAUGUGAAAGCCCACGGCUCAACCGUGGAGGGUCAUUGGAAACUGGGAGACUUGAGUGCAGAAGAGAAGAGUGGAAUUCCAUGUGUAGCGGUGAAAUGCGUAGAGAUAUGGAGGAACACCAGUGGCGAAGGCGACUCUUUGGUCUGUAACUGACGCUGAGGCGCGAAAGCGUGGGGAGCAAACAG
rnacentral:rRNA from 1 species